UUAUUAUAUGUCAUAUCAUAUAUGCCAUCACUAGUAAAACUUACACGCGAAUCAUCAUGAAUUCAAAUAUUCAAUCAUCUGAUAGCCUUGCCGAAUUUAAAGUUCUCAUCAAGCUCAAGGAUAAAUAA